AACGACUCUCGGCAACGGAUAUCUCGGCUCACGCAUCGAUGAAGAACGUAGCAAAAUGCGAUACUUGGUGUGAAUUGCAGAAUCCCGUGAACCAUCGAGUUUUUGAACGCAAGUUGCGCCYGAAGCCAUUCGGCUGAGGGCACGUCUGCCUGGGCGUCACGCAU
rnacentral:rRNA from 1 species